UGUCGGGUUGAUAACUAGGCGGCGGUUUCAAAACAUUGCAUCCACGACCUUUGCCCUUUAAGUGCCCGAAAGAUUGACUUUUCUUUUCUGCGACUGAGUCUUACACAUUUGCCUUCUCAUUUCAUCCAUGUUUGUUUAAUGUUUAUUCAGUCGCAACAACC
rnacentral:snoRNA from 1 species